CUCGGAAAUGAGUCUAAAAAUUAUGGCAUGUAUGGUCAUUGUAUUGACGGCAAAAACAACGGAAUUACACGAAAUUAUGAGAAUCGAGCACAUGUUGCUGACGUAGUACACUGGUUUAUUGCGUAGUACACAGAUUUAUUACGUAGUACACAGGUCUAUUAAGCGCGCAAUAUUCAAUAUUCAAAGACGGCAAAAACUUCGUCUCAUAUCUAAUAUCAUCUCCCCAAUAAAGACAUACAACAAGAAAAGUGAAAUUGCUCAAGCAAAUUAUCAGAAGAAGACCUUCAAAGCUGCAAUCGGUGAAAUUCACUGUCCUGCUGACAGUGUCAAAUGUGAAAGUGCAUCGAAAAUGCAGGAACUGCUGGGGGUUGUGUGGUUGAGGCUAGAUCUGACGGAUGGGAGGAUGAGUGCAGAAGCCUGCGUAGAAAGAUUCGACGCAUGGAGGAGCCAAUUACUGCUUUAGAGAGUCAGAAUACAAAAGUGGAGGACCCCGAAUUAUAAGCUGUGGAACAUCUUAGUGAUACUCAAGAAGUCUUGGUUACAAUAGCAAAGACUAUCUUCACUGUGGAGGAACUUAGAACCCACUCUAGGACUGGAAAGAUGACCAAUAAGUGUAAGGAUUCCCCGAGACCACCACUUGAACCCUCGAAACUCAGCAAUCUUGAAAGACUAGUGAGGAGGAAAACCGGUGUAUCAAAAGAAGUAUUUAAUAAAAAACUAGAGACUUUGCAAAAGGUCAUCAGAAGGAAAUAAAUCACAAAAUAAGUGAAACAUUGGAAACUGUUCUAAUUUCAAGUUCUUGAUUUUUGCACUUUUGAAAAUCAGCAAGCUGUAUUGAAGAAACUAUUUCUUAGUUCUUGUUAAACAAAGAUGUGUAGUUUUUAAAUUUUACAAGCAGUUUUACAUGUUUGUGGUUUACUUUUGAACAAUAUAACUUAGAGCUUAUGUUGAGUACAUAUUGUUUAGACUUGUCAGUCCGCAAAUUGAUUGGUAUCAUCUGUCUGCUCUGUUCUUGCAUUUUUCAUGAAUGUGAAAUAAUGUAAAUGUAGUUUAGGAACUGUUCAUGAACUGUAGUUCUUGAACUGUUCUUGUACUUUUCGUGAAGAUAAAAUGGCACAAUGAAUUUGCACUGGAAAAAGUGCUAGAAAAGUUCAUGUAGAGGUAAAAUUCAUGAACAGUUCAUAAUUUACUGUAAGUGAACAGUUCAUGAGCAUUUCAUUGCAUUUUGUUCAAGAACAGUUCAUGAAAUGUUCAUGUUUUAUUGAGUCAUGAACUGAUCAAGAACAUGGGACAGUUCAAGAACUAGGUGUCCUCUGAACUUUUCAAGAAUUUGUGCCAUUUUGUCUUCAUGUACAUCCCAUGAACUAUUCAUGAAUCUAGGUCAUGAACUAGAAUGAAUACUUCAUGAAUUAUUCAUGAACUGUAAGCAUUCAUUUCACAGG